AGAGUUUGAUCCUGGCUCAGGACGAACGCUGGCGGCGUGCUUAACACAUGCAAGUCGAGCGGAGUAAAAGAUUCGUCUUUUACUUAGCGGCGGACGGGUGAGUAACACGUGGGCAACCUGCCUUUAAGAGGGGGAUAACACAGAGAAAUUUGUGCUAAUACCGCAUAACGAUAUGCUGCCGCAUGGCAAUAUAUCCAAAGGAGUAAUCCGCUUAAAGAUGGGCCCGCGGCGCAUUAGCUAGUUGGUGAGGUAACGGCUCACCAAGGCGACGAUGCGUAGCCGACCUGAGAGGGUGAUCGGCCACAUUGGGACUGAGACACGGCCCAGACUCCUACGGGAGGCAGCAGUGGGGAAUAUUGCACAAUGGGGGAAACCCUGAUGCAGCAACGCCGCGUGAGCGAUGAAGGCCUUCGGGUUGUAAAGCUCUGUCUUCAGGGACGAUAAUGACGGUACCUGAGGAGGAAGCCACGGCUAACUACGUGCCAGCAGCCGCGGUAAUACGUAGGGUGCAAGCGUUGCCCGGAUUUAUUGGGCGUAAAGGGCGCGUAGGCGGCUCGGCACGUCCGUUGUGAAAUCGCCCGGCUCAACUGGGCGGGGUCAGCGGAUACGGUCGAGCUUGAGCAAGCUAGGGGGCAAUGGAAUUCCCGGUGUAGUGGUGGAAUGCGUAGAUAUCGGGAGGAACACCAGUGGCGAAGGCGGUUGCCUGGGGCUUUGCUGACGCUGAUGCGCGAAAGCGUGGGGAGCGAUCCGGAUUAGAUACCCGGGUAGUCCACGCCGUAAACGAUGGACACUAGGUGUUGGUGGUAUCAACCCCGCCAGUGCCGAAGCUAACGCAUUAAGUGUCCCGCCUGGGGAGUACGGCCGCAAGGCUAAAACUCAAAGGAAUUGACGG
rnacentral:rRNA from 1 species